GUUCGUUCAUUCCAAGAUGGCGGAUCGGCCUCGCUUCACACUACAACAUUGCUCAGAUGUGCAUCAAAAAGCAAACAGACAGUGAUUCAGUUUUCAGGACCUUGAAGGUAACAGUUGAUGGUACAGAGUAUGCCAAUGGCAUGUUUGUAUCAGUGGGAGAAAGUGGAGGAUUGCCAAAAUUUGCAAAAAUUUUGCAGAUCUACUUGGUAAAUAAUAAGGUUUCUUUCUUCUGUACUGACUAUGACUGUUGGUAUAUAGAACACCUUCGUUGCUAUGAACUGUGUCCUCCUGUAUUGGGGCAUUGUCAGUCUUUCUACUUGCACUCUCAACUAAAUGACACCGUGACUUUGUGUGCAUACAGAAUUGAAGGACGGUUAUUGCUGACUACAAAAAGGUUCUUACCAGUUACACACAAUGGAGGCAUGUAAAAGCACAUCAGCAAGCGCAGAGUCUUGUGCAAUGAUACUGCGUGUUGUUGAAGCAGACCGUGCAAGGAAAGUGAAACUUAGUGCACGACCAGCCUCCGUUAGUGCACUUAUUCAAAUUUUAAAAGACCAACUUCAGCUGGACCUUGAGUUCAGUUUACAAUAUGAGGACCCUGAUUUUAAUAAUCAGCUGACUUCCUUGGAUGAUAUAAAUGAGUUGCCUCAAAAGGCAGUGGUCCAUAUCCUGCCAAUGGAAUCAGAUGGCUCCACUUCAUCUACUGAAAUUCUAUCAGAUGUGUCGAAUCCUGAACGUGCUAAGAUGUGGCCUCGUGGUGAUUUUCCAAUUCCACAGUUUUCCUAUGAUGUUGAACUAAGGCUUAGACAGGGAAAUGAUGAAUUUGAGAAGAGCGG